ACCCGCACAAGCGGUGGAACAUGUGGUUAAUUCGACGCAACGCGAAGAACCUUACCAGGGCUUGACAUCCCCUGACCGCGUAUGAAAGUACGUUUUCACCCUCGGGUGACAGGGAGACAGGUGGUGCAUGGUUGUCGUCAGCUCGUGUCGUGAGAUGUUGGGUUAAGUCCCGCAACGAGCGCAACCCCUACGUUUAGUUGCUAACGCGUGAAGGCGAGCACUCUAGACGAACUGCCGUUGACAAAACGGAGGAAGGUGGGAUGACGUCAAAUCAUCAUGCCCCUUAUGUUCUGGGCUACACACGUGCUACAAUGGCCGGUACAGACGGACGCAAAGCCGCGAGGUGGAGCAAAUCCUAAAAAGCCGGUCUCAGUUCGGAUUGCAGGCUGCAAUUCGCCUGCAUGAAGUCGGAAUCGCUAGUAAUCGCAGGUCAGCAUACUGCGGUGAAUACGUUCCCGGGCCUU
rnacentral:rRNA from 1 species